rnacentral:lncRNA from 1 species
UAUCCCUUUGCUGUAGAUAAAAAUAAAAGUACUCUUACAUUCCCUGAUGGAAAUGAGCAGUUAAAUGACUCAUCCUAAAUGAUGUAAUAUUAAAUAGUGACAGAGGCAACAAUAAAUGCCAAGUAUUCUCCCCACCCAGUGAUACGCCCCCCCACCCCCACCCCACCUCAGGACUGUACUUGUCCCCAUACCAUGCUGUCUCCAGCAAGAAUCUUAUUAAACUGCAGCAGAAACUGCAGUACCCCCAAGGACAAAUAAAUGCUUUUAUAUUACAACAAAAACUACAGUAUUUCUACUUUAAGAAAAACAAAUAUUUUGCCUGUGGAUAUUCUGUCAUUCAUUGAAUAAUUUAAAAGCACUUAAUACUUGUCAGAUACCAUUCCAGGCACAAAACAGAAUCCUUACUUCCAUGAUGCUAAUGCUCUGGUGCUGGAAUGUGGAAGGCUGAGAGAGAAAAAAUUCUAUAUAAUUUGUCAAGUGCAAUGAAUAUUGUGAAGAAAAAUAAAUCUGGGUAAGGGGAUUGAGAAUACAAUUUUUCACAGUAACAUAGAAGUCCCUUAUGAAAAGAGAGCGGAGCAAAGACCUCAAGCCCUGUGAAUAUCUGGAAGACGAGGUUAAGAAGGAGGACUUUAUGGCAGGUGAAUGUGGAAGUUGUCUUCAGAUUGCUCCCAUUUUCUCUGUGAAAGACACUGCAAAGUUAUUAGCAAAGAAAUAGAAGUGUUAGUGAUUUCAUGAAUUAGUCUGUAAUAAUAGUGAGAUAUUGGCUAGCGGUGUUCAGUAGGAUUGUCAGACAAUACUGCAGGCCCAUCCUGGGAUGAACUUAAAGCAUUGCGUGUCUCUUCCCUUCAGCUACAUUCAGUGCUUGGUGGAAAGUUGGAUUUAAUCAGGGUUGGUAUAAGAAACAAGCCAGGACUUUGAGAAAGAGAGUGGCUAAAGGAACACAAACUAGAGAGAAUAGGUAAUAGUGAAAAAUCAGUGAGCCCAGUGGUUUGGCGGUUCUGCUGAGGUCAAAAAGUUAUUAGAGUACGGAUAACAGAAUGAACAAGCUGUAAAGAAAAGAAAUAGUAGUAGUCAGAUAUGGGCCACUUGGAAUUGAGAUUGCAGGGGAAGGUUAAAUAUUGGCAAUAAGACCUAGAGAAUGUCCAUGGGAGUGAGUAUUGAGAUGCUCUUAAAGAUAACUAGAAGGGAAGAGGGCAGACAUGGAGCCCAGGGUUUUAAAUGAAUUCUCUAUUUGAUUAUUACAAUUGUGCCCCAAAAUGUCAGAAGUAGUGGUGAUAUGGGGACUGUAAUGACUGUAGUAAGGAGUGGCAAGGCAUAUGAUGUGGCAGGAUAGCAUAAAGCAUGAAAGACCUAGGGAGAAAAAGGAGCAAGAAUAAUCCAGAAGCCUACAAACAAGCAAUAAAGAGAUACCUUCUUGAGAUUUGGGAUCAAAAAUAGCCACUCCUGAAGCUGGAGUUGUAGCUCAGUGGUAGAGUGCUUUCCUAGCAUGUGUGAGGCACUAAGUUCAAUCCUCACCACCACAUAAAAAUAAGUAAAGGCAUUUUGUCCAUCUAUAACUAAGAAAAAAUUAAAAAAAAAAUAGCCACUCUUUGAAAGGUUUGUAAGGAAUAGUGUCCUGAGAGGACAGUCAGGUUUCAGUCAACAUGUAGAGACUGACAAAUCAGGGUAUAGGCAUGAUUAAAUCAAUCCUGAAGAAAAAUGAUAAGCUAUUCCUAUUACCCCUUAAUGGGAUAAGUGUCUAGGCCAAUUGCUUCGUGAGCCAUACAAAUACUGGGUGAGAGGAAAGGGUAUGCUUGCCAGGAGUCCUCUUUUCAAUUAGUUGACACUUCAUUUAAAACUGGUUCUUUCUGAGUGUUGGUGCUGGGAAUGAAAACAGAAUUUCCUCCCCAGAUCUGAUAUUCAACACCUGGGAAAUGGCUUGACCAUAUAUACAUACUGUAUUUUAGAAGAGUUUCUAUGCAUUAUGUGUAUGUAGUAAGUACUAUUUGAUGGCUAUUAUGGAUAUGACUCUAUUGCAGGAAACUCAUGAAGUCAGGAAAUGCACAGCUGAGCAAAGUGUUUCAUUAAGGAAACCAUGAGCCCUCCUUUUCAAAGUGUUUUCCUCCAAAAAUAUUUCUGAAGAGAGAAAAAGAGGAAACUCAUACAAAGUUGAAGAAAACCCUGCAGAAAUUAUCCAGAUAGAAUCACAAAUUACUGAAAGAAAAGAGAAUUCAAGGGGAAAAAUAAAAGCAACACUCAAGCUUGGUUUGGAACAUGCAAAAAAUACCUGAAAAAUAAAAUGGUAGGAAGACAUUUGAUAAUUAAUUUCUCUUUGGUCUGAAUUCAGAGACAUGAUCUGUAUCUUCCUGCCUGCCUUUUGAUGUGUAUGAGAAGUAGGCAGGGGAUGUAUGUGUAGAUGGCUUGAGUGGGGAAGGUAACCAUCAUCAGGAGACUCAAAUUGUUAUUGCGUUGCCUUUAAUGGAACAUGACCUGUUACAAAAAUGAAAGACUUUUUUUUUUCCUUUUCUUUUUUUUUUUUUUUUAGUUUCAAUUAUUGAACAAUAAUGUACAGCUUUGUAGACUUUCAUUGUUUUUAGACCAAUGAGUAUUAAUUACUAGUAACACACUAAGUGAGUUACUAAAGAUCAUGAAAAUUUGUAUCCAAAAAUGAAAAUCAGUAUUUACCAUUAGAGUUUAUUAAGGACUCUGCUUGUUAACUGUACAUACAAAGUUUAUAAUUUUACAAGAGUGCCCAAAAGUACAUAUACAGAUCCUGUUUCACAGAUGGUUUACAAGAUAACUGACAGAAACCACCUUGUAUCACACUCAGGCAUUUUCUUUUGAGUGUGUCGUCAUUAUUGGGAUUUCAUGGUUUUUGCUGCUCUUUUUGCUUUUGGGGUACAUGUUAACUUGGAAUCUAUUUAGACUGUUAUAGAUAAUUUGAUUAAUG